AGCGAACGCUGGCGGCAGGCCUAACACAUGCAAGUCGAGCGGCCCUUCGGGGCAGCGGCGGACGGGUGAGUAACGCGUGGGAACGUGCCCUUUGGUACGGAACAACUGAGGGAAACUUCAGCUAAUACCGUAUGUGCCCUACGGGGGAAAGAUUUAUCGCCAUUGGAGCGGCCCGCGUUAGAUUAACUAGUUGGUAGGGUAAUGGCCUACCAAGGCGACGAUCUAUAGCUGGUCUGAGCGGAUGAUCAGCCACACUGGGACUGAGACACGGCCCAGCCUCCUACGGGAGGCAGCAGUGGGGAAUCUUGCGCAAUGGGCGAAAGCCUGACGCAGCCAUGCCGCGUGAAUGAUGAAGGUCUUAGGAUUGUAAAAUUCUUUCACCGGGGACGAUAAUGACGGUACCCGGAGAAGAAGCCCCGGCUAACUUCGUGCCAGCAGCCGCCGUAACAC
rnacentral:rRNA from 1 species